UUUUUCGAAUAUCUUUAAAGCUAAGUAAAUUUCUUCUGGAUUUACUUGAAUAUAAUGCAUUAUCAAUAGUUAGUUGGGUACCCGAAGAUAAUAUUAUGUGUGCUCUGCCGGAGCCUUCGAUAAGGUUACUGACACCAGAUAUAGUACUAAUCGGUGUCUCUGCCAGAGACAACUCAGAGAAAAAUUUCAUAUCUUUGAGAAUAGUGUUAGUACUACCACUAUCUACCAGACAUUCAUCACCAAUAAUAGCUCUAUUGGAGCUAGUAUACAUAUUUCUUCAGGAAAUAAAAAUAAAUAAAAGUUAAUUCAAAGAAGUAAAAUGAAACAUUUCAAGAGUUUAUAACAAAUGCGUUGAUAUACCUCAAUGAGGUGCUUAGUGGUGCGACAUGUGCGGGACCAAUGAUUUGACAUCCCACAUUUAUAACAAAUGUUGUUUUGGUUCCCGCUACUUUUCUCUUUUGAAGAACGCCCCGUAUUAUGUCUACUUGAUUCGCUACCACUAUUUUUAGUGUUCUGAUACUCUCGAUGCCAUACAUAUCCCUGUCCUCGACCAUGACCACGACCUCUGCUCGGGUCGCGGCCUCUUCCUCUACCUCGUCCGCUUUGAGAAUUAGCCACAUUCGCUUCAGGGAAUGGGCUUGCACCGGCGGGUCGCGAUUGAUGGUUUUGUAGUAGGAGCUUGUUGUUUUGCUCCACAACCAGAAGACAUGAUAUCAAUUCGGAAUAUUUAGUAAAUUAGCGUUCCCUAUAUUGCUGCGACUGGAGCAUAUUUGAGCAUGGAACGUUGAGAAAGUUUUUUUUUUCAAUCAUGUCUUCAUCGGUUAUUAUUAUUUUUUUUUUCACCACAUAAUUUUAACUCGGAGGUAAUGCGGAAGAAGGCAGAAUUAUACUCAUUAAUAGUCUUAAAAUCUUGUAGACGUAAAUGAAGCCAUUUAUAGCGGGCUUUGGGGAGUAAGACCAACUUCUGGUGGUCAAAAAGUUCUUUGAUGUUUGUUCAUAAUUAAAGAGGGUCCUCAACAGUUAGAUAUUCCCGCUUUAGAUUUUUGUGAAGAUGAUGGCGGAAAAAUAUCGAGGUGAAGUUUGAUUACCAUCAAUAAUUGUCUCCCCCAAAUUAUUUGCUGUCAAAUGAAUUUUAGCAUCAAGAGUCCAUGGGAGGUAGUUGUUACCCGAGAUGUCAAGUGUGGUGAAUUCAAGCUUUGAUAAAUUCGACGUUUUACCCACAAAUGAAAAAAUCAAGGAUUUUAAAUUGAGCCGCAAUAUAAAAUAUAUUAAUUGUAUGAGAACUUCAGGUUCUCUAUGGAUAGAACUUCGGGUUCUAUAUGUUAGGCCAUUGUUAUAUGAUAAGAAUAAUGAUUUAAAAAUAUUAUGUAAUGGUUGAACGUUUAUUUAAUUUAAUGUGAGAUUGCUUUUCUUGAUCAACCCAUGUGGUGGAUGUAAAAAAUAAAACCUAUAUGGCUUAUUUAAUGUAUAGAUUUAUGAUGUGGUAGACGCAUACAACGUUACAUAUAUAUAAUGUAUUUGUUAGAAUUUUGCAUUAACAAAAUUUAAUGUAAAACAACAUUGCAGUUUAGUAUGGGCUACAAGUGGGCUUGGCAGAAACCACAUUUGAUUGGAACCGGUAAGUGUUGGUUUCAAGCCCCUUUUUUUUUCAUUUUUAUUUUGAUGCAACUUUAAUGGGAUUAUUAUAUGUUAUUAUAUAUACAACUGGGUACAGUUGUAACUCACUUGGUAUUUAUAUUAUUAAAUGAGGAAAAUAAAAGUUAGAUAUACCCUAAAAAGGCUAAAACCACCAUGACAGCAAAUUUUCAAUUUGCUAAUGAAAACUCUUGAAACCCAUCUUCCUCCAUGAAAUCUCUUAUUCAGAUUCCCUUAUGAGUCAUGGCAACAGUUUCAAAUUCUAAACCCUACACCGCCAUAGAUCUAUUCGGAGAUCCAGAUCUACUCGCCAACUAACAAAACAUUCACCGAUGAUGACAUCGUCCGUGAAGGUUCACACGUGUCAGAGAUGACGAACGACUGUAGACUUGACUCGAAACCGGAGACGAGAAGAAACUUAACCGGUUAAACGCCGAUGUAAACGACAUCACCGGAACGAUUGGCGGUUGAGGACAAUCGCCGAAGAAAGGUGUUCAGAUGUAUACGCAGUAAUAUAUCAAGGAGGAUAACAUAUAAUCAAUAUAUACGAGAGAUUGUGAUGAUGUGUACCAGGAUUACGAGGGAGUGAAGAUUUGUUCAAGAUGUGUUAUUGUCUGCGGAUUGCGUCACUGCUGCCCGAUGCAAGUUACAUAAACGAUUUGAUAUGAUGGCCGGUAAAUCUCAGCGGAGAGUCUCGUGCUGAUAACGUGAUAAAAACCAAAUGGAAUUAUCUAUUAGAUUGCAAGUGAUUGUAUUGAAUCUUCUGGAAAAACCAAUCACCAAAUAAUAAUAUACAAGAGUAUUAUAUAAUACAAGCAGUUACAAGGUGUUAAUACAAGUGGUUACAAGGUGUUAACUGCCAAGGCAGUUACAUGGGGAAAACGUAUAUCUGGUUUUAUAACAAUUCUUUAAUUUUCCUUUA